rnacentral:misc_RNA from 1 species
CCCUAAAAUAACACACCGCAGUCGCGCCCAGAGCAUAUCGGUUGUGUUUUAUGCACUGCGAGUUUUGUACGGUUGUUUAAUUUAAUUACUUGACCAAAAGAGCAGUGCAUUGGUAGUUUUGUAAAUUUAAACGGUAUUGAAAUAGAAACAAUAAAACGAUUAACAAAUUAAGUGUCGAACAAUUUGUGAUGCGCCAAUGAUAUGUAAUAAAUAUAUCGAAAGCUCAAUGUUUAAAUAUUUGUGUAUUCGUGUAUUGGGUGUUUAUAUUUUGCUUCCAUCUUGUGAUGAGUGAAUUAUUUAACUACGAACGAAUGACGGAAAAUGACGAGAAAAUUUCUCUUCUGUUUCCCACUGAGGCUGGGAAACAUUGUUUUCGGAUACAUUGUUAUUAUUAUCAGUUUAGCGGUCGCAGCGUUUCAUUUGUACCAGCUCGGUCUAAGUCUCGUUGCUAGAGACGAACACAAGGAGCAGAGAUUCGCUAACUUCGAACAACUGGAGACCAUUUUUGGCACGCAAAAACAGGAUCUAGUCACCUUGAUAGUAAUGAUAUAUUACUUGACAUAUGUCAUUAUUGGACUGCUCAUGUUUAUCUUCUCGGCUACAUUCACUUGUGGCGCUUACAAGGUCAACGACUGCGCCAUAACGACGUUCUUCAUGUACAGCUUCGUGCACAUCUUCCUCAGCAUCGGGCUGAUAGUGUGGGAAGCGCUCACCGCCGGCUGGCUCCAACUGGCGCUCAUUGUUGUAUCAGAUGUUCUGCUAAUAGUCUGCCUGUUCAGCGUUAAGUACCUGAUGGAGGCGAUAAGAACCGGAAACAUCUACCACCGGCCCGGGGAGGUGCUGUACAAGUACUGACAGAACAUCGACAUCUGCGUGCACACUGUCAUGUUAUGAACUCUUCACGGACAAGCACCUGAUGGAAGCGAUAAGAACCAGCAACAUCUACCACCGGCCCGGGGAGGUGCUGUACAAGUACUGACAGAACAUCGACAUCUGCGUGCACACUGUCAUGUUAUGAACUCUUCACGGACAAGCACCUGAUGGAAGCGAUAAGAACCGGCAACAUUACCACCGGUCCGGGGAGGUGCUGUACAAGUACUGACAGAACAUCGACAUCUGCGUGCACACUGUCAUGUUAUGAACUCUUCACGGAUACUCGUGGAUCUCAAUUUGGUUGAGUGAGUUCGAGACAUUCAGACGUUCUGUAAAAAAAAAUGGACAUUGGUGCUAAUUCAGAAUUUAUUUAAUUUUUGUCAUGUGUUAACUCUCUUCUAUGAGAUAGUGACCAAGUAGAUGAAGUCAUAGUGCCACAACUUAUCUGACCCGGUGAGGGUGUUUCUGUUAUCGCGCUUUUUAUAAUAUGUCUAAAAUUCAGUCUCGAGGUUUGGCAUCCUCACCCGAGUGAGACGUGGGGCAUUUGCUCCCCCUGUGAUUUAAUCCAGGCCCUUUUGGGGCUGUGGCAUCUUGACUUAUGAUUUGAGUUUGCUUGUCCACUGCCCAUGUGCGGACUACGCGAUUCCUCUGCGAUUUAAUGUCUGUUGUAAAAUGGGUAACCCGUUUAACAAAAAUCCUUUGCUAAUUUGCUUACUUACUUAUAGGCAAAUAGAAUUUAUAAACAUGCUUCCUCUAUCCUGAUGCUACUUUAGUUUUAGUUUACAUUUCAAAAAUCCACCUUUACACUUUACCACUACAACCCAAGCAAAACCGUCUUCACAAAAUAGAAAACCUUACUAUGAAUCUAAUCCUAAUAAUUGAAAUACAAGUAUUUCAUCAACUUAUUCGUUGUAUAAGUUGAAAAAUUUAGCUGAUUAAUUUAAUGUAAAUAUUAGUUUAUAUUUUAUGUAUAUAGGAAUAUUUAAUAGGAUUAGUAAACUAACCUUGCUUUGUUGAAUUUCAUUCUAAACGUUCAUUUCGAAGAACAUUGAAUUGGGAUUUUUCUCGUCACAUUAGGGUUGUUGUCAUCCCCUGCUGUCCAAGUUGAUGAAAAAUCUGACUGGACAGUUAAUAUUCUCGUAGAAAUCUACGAGAAAUGUAUGAAGAAAUAAUUUAAUCAAGGAAUUUGGACAUAUCCAAAUUCCUUGAUGAAAUUAUUUCUUUCAUCAUAUCAGCAGAUGGACGUCCACUGCAAGAUUUUUGUAGGGACUUCCAAACAUCACGAUACUGAGCCACCU